UUUUAGUAGAGAUGGGGUUUCAUCGUGUUAGCCAGGAUGGUCUCCAUCUCCUGACCUCGUGUUCCGCCCGCCUAGGCCUCCCAAAGUCCUGGGAUUACAGGCGUGAGCCACUGUGCCUAGCCAUUCCCUAGCCUUUUCGUCUUGGAAUCAUUUGUAGUGUCAUACGCCCCAGUUCUUUCAUCUUGGAAUUCUUUAGGGGACCGUGUGCCCCAGUGUUUCCAUCUUGGGAUCACUUGCAGGGCUGUACUCUUCAAAUCUUUGGGGACACUGUAUUAUGCCCCAGUCUUUCCCAUCUUGGAAUCUUUCCAGAGACCCUAUGCCCAGUCUUUUUGUCUUGGACUUAUUUGCAGGGCUAUAUGCCCCAGGCUUUUCAUCCUGGAAUCUUUUGAGAGAUCGCAUGCCCCAGCCUUUCCAUCCUGGGAUCAUUUGCAGUGCUGGACUCCCUAAUCUUUUUGUGUCGUAAUCGUUUGCGGUGUCAUCUUGGAAUUAUCUUGUCAUCUUGGAAGUGUCUUUUCAUCUUGGAAUUAUUUCAGGGACUGUAAGUCCCAGUCAUCUGUCUUGGAAUUGUUUUCUGGGAUGGAUGCCCCAAUCGUUUCGUUUUGGGGUCUUUGGGGAAUCGUAUGCCCCAGUGUUAUUGUUUCAGGAUUGUUUCAGGAUUCUUUGCAGUACCGUGCACCGCAGUCUUUUCAUCUUAGAAUCCUUUGGGGUACUCCCGGUUCAUCUUGGAAUUAUCUGGAAGACCGUAUGCCCCUGUUUUUUUCAAAGUACCACAGUUUUAAACAUUUAUGUUCACCUCUUGAGAGACAUCUUGGUUACUUCCAGUUGCCCCAGUUUUUUUGUCUUGGAAUCUUUGGAGGUACUGUAUUCUCCCUCUUUUUGUCUUGGAAUCAUUUGCGGUGCUGUACACCCCAGUCUUCUCGUCUUACAAUUCUUUAGGGGUAAAAUAUGCUCCAGUCUUUUCAUCUUGGGAUUCUUUCAGUGAACGCAGGUCCCAGUUUUUUUGUCUUGGAAUUCUUUAUGGGACCACACACCCCGGUCUUCCUGUCUUGGAACCGUUCGCAGCACUCUAUUGCAUGUAAUACCGCCGGCGGCACUCUACACGACUUGGAGCCGCCUGCGCUACCGUAUGCAGCACUCUCCACGGUAGCUCCCUGGGGACUCAAACUUUUCCAGUUCCCCAUCUUUAGGCUGCAACAGCAUGGCAAUGCCCAAUAGAAAACAACGCAAGCAGUAGCCAUCACGCUGCCAACACUGGCGGUGCCCUCUUGGGCAGUGGCCACUGUCUGCUGGGCGCAUUACUAAGCCCAGAGCACUCUAUGAACUCAUC
rnacentral:lncRNA from 1 species